AAGAAAUUAAGAAUGAAUACCUCAUAAGCUGAUAUCAUUCACUCAUAAGCACACUCACUCACCCUCCAUCAAAUCAAUCAAUACCUCCAUUUCCAUUUUCCAAAGUCUAUAAAUAAUCACUAGUAGAAUUCUCUCUUCCUACACACCACCAAGUCUAUAAAUAAUAGUAGUGUUACAAUUCUCUCUUCCUAUGUUCUUUCUUCUUGUUACGUGAAGUUUAUUUGUGUUGCUUCUAUGUCCCAUAUUUUCUCUUAAGAAUCCAUAUUUUCUUCUUCUUCUUUGCUCAAAACCUAAUGGUACUAGGAAUGGUAUUAGGAGUAAAUGAAUAUGUUGUUGAAAAUGAACAUCAACAACAUUUUAAUGACAACUUUAAUAGUUAUAUUAAUGCCAUCUAUAUUUGUUUUUAUGUUAC
rnacentral:lncRNA from 1 species